rnacentral:rRNA from 1 species
GUGAGGAAUAUUGGACAAUGGGCGCAAGCCUGAUCCAGCCAUGCCGCGUGCAGGAAGACGCAUCUAUGGUGUGUAAACUGCUUUUGUACGGGAAGAAACACUCCCUCGUGAGGGAGCUUGACGGUACCGUAAGAAUAAGGAUCGGCUAACUCCGUGCCAGCAGCCGCGGUAAUACGGAGGAUCCAAGCGUUAUCCGGAAUCAUUGGGUUUAAAGGGUCCGUAGGCGGUUUAAUAAGUCAGUGGUGAAAGCCCAUCGCUCAACGAUGGAACGGCCAUUGAUACUGUUAGACUUGAAUUACAAGGAAGUAACUAGAAUAUGUAGUGUAGCGGUGAAAUGCUUAGAUAUUACAUGGAAUACCAAUUGCGAAGGCAGGUUACUACUUGUGGAUUGACGCUGAUGGACGAAAGCGUGGGGAGCGAACAGGAUUAGAAACCCGGGGAGUCC